rnacentral:rRNA from 1 species
AGUCGAGUGCUUCCUUCGGUGAGGAGCGGCAGACGGGUGAGUAACGCGUGGGAACAUACCUAAUAGUACGGAAUAACAGUUGGAAACGACUGCUAAUACCGUAUACGCCCUUAGGGGGAAAGAUUUAUCGCUAUUAGAUUGGCCCGCGUUGGAUUAGCUAGUUGGUGAGGUAACUGCUCACCAAGGCGACGAUCUAUAGCUGGUCUGAGAGGAUGAUCAGCCACACUGGGACUGAGACACGGCCCAGACUCCUACGGGAGGCAGCAGUGGGGAAUAUUGGACAAUGGGCGCAAGCCUGAUCCAGCCAUGCCGCGUGAGUGAUGAAGGCCUUAGGGUUGUAAAGCUCUUUCGCUAGGGAAGAUAAUGACGGUACCUAGUAAAGAAGCCCCGGCUAACUUCGUGCCAGCAGCCGCGGUAAUACGAAGGGGGCUAACGUUGUUCGGAUUUACUGGGCGUAAAGCGUACGUAGGCGGAUUAGAAAGUAAGGGGUGAAAUCCCGAGGCUCAACCUCGGAACUGCCUCUUAAACUUCUAGUCUAAAGAUCGGGAGAGGUGUAUGGAA